rnacentral:rRNA from 1 species
AUGGCCGAAUGCUUCAAUAGGGUGCUCAAAGGUGCACGUGGAUUACCCGUGACGGCAAUAGUUCAAUACACAUUUGACAAGAUGAAUGCGUACUUUGUAAAGUACUCGAUGGAAACCGAUGCACAGAUAGCGGGCGAGAACCCACGGAAGUACAAGUACAAGUUCCCACCCAAAGUUGAUGAAUGGUUGGUAUUUCAAUCACGGAAGGCGGACUCAGAAGAAGCUAUAUUAUAUGACAACGAAGAGUGGAAGUACGAAGUGAAAGAGCCAGGAGGAACCACAAACGAUGGCCGGCAACAUGGAGGUCGGGCUUUCAAGGUGUCGUUAACACAAUGUGAUUGCACUUGCGGGAGGCCAUUGUUGCUUCAUCUCCCAUGCUCACAUUUGUAUGCCGCCGGUCGCGUUAGGAAUGUGGACAUCAAUCACCCACGCACCAUGAGGGAGUCGGAGUUCUCAAUCAUGACGGUCAAGAAAACAUGGGCUCCCCGCUUUGACCCAUACUUUGACCAAUCACAAUGGCCGAAGUAUCAUGGAGUUCAACUAUGGCCGGAUCCG